UGGCUUAAAUUAGCCAGAGUCGGUUUUGGUUGGUUGCCAACAACCCAAAAGUAAAAAUAAAAUCCUUAACCAUAUUAACCAGUUCUUAACUGAUUCCUCCACUCAUGCCUGAAAUGUUGACAACAGACACUGGCUGGGGCAAGUCGUGCUUUCCCUUUGCACCUCGAGGUGGGGGUGACAUUUUAGCUUCAGCUGAUUCUCCUCCAUGACAGUUGCAUGGGAAUAGCAGAAGCCUCAAGUGGAAACACAGAUUCGGGCUAACACCUUUCCAGGGACUAACUAGUCAUCCAGAUCUGGAGUUCAACUGGGAGACUGAUUGCUCAC